rnacentral:rRNA from 1 species
AGAUUGAACGCUGGCGGCAGGCCUAACACAUGCAAGUCGAGCGGUAGAGAGGUGCUUGCAUCUCUUGAGAGCGGCGGACGGGUGAGUAAUGCCUAGGAAUCUGCCUAGUGGUGGGGGAUAACGUUCGGAAACGGACGCUAAUACCGCAUACGUCCUACGGGAGAAAGCGGGGGACCUUCGGGCCUCGCGCCAUUAGAUGAGCCUAGGUCGGAUUAGCUAGUUGGUGAGGUAAUGGCUCACCAAGGCGACGAUCCGUAACUGGUCUGAGAGGAUGAUCAGUCACACUGGAACUGAGACACGGUCCAGACUCCUACGGGAGGCAGCAGUGGGGAAUAUUGGACAAUGGGCGAAAGCCUGAUCCAGCCAUGCCGCGUGUGUGAAGAAGGUCUUCGGAUUGUAAAGCACUUUAAGUGGAGGAAGGUUGUAACUUAAUACGUUGCAACUUUGACGUUACCGACAGAAUAAGCACCGGCUAACUCGUGCCAGCAGCCGACGG